CCUACGGGUGGCAGCAGUGGGGAAUAUUGGACAAUGGGGGCAACCCUGAUCCAGCCAUGCCGCGUGUGUGAAGAAGGCCCUCGGGUUGUAAAGCACUUUCAGUGAGGAAGAACGCCUGGUGGUUAAUACCCAUUAGGAAAGACAUCACUCACAGAAGAAGCACCGGCUAACUCCGUGCCAGCAGCCGCGGUAAUACGGAGGGUGCGAGCGUUAAUCGGAAUUACUGGGCGUAAAGCGCGCGUAGGUGGCUUGAUAAGCCGGUUGUGAAAGCCCCGGGCUCAACCUGGGAACGGCAUCCGGAACUGUCAAGCUAGAGUGCAGGAGAGGAAGGUAGAAUUCCCGGUGUAGCGGUGAAAUGCGUAGAGAUCGGGAGGAAUACCAGUGGCGAAGGCGGCCUUCUGGACUGACACUGACACUGAGGUGCGAAAGCGUGGGUAGCAAACAGGAUUAGAUACCCGGGUAGUC
rnacentral:rRNA from 1 species